rnacentral:rRNA from 1 species
ACCGUGGCAGUGACGGUUAACGGGGAAUUAGGGUUCAAUUCCGGAGAGGGAGCCUGAGAAACGGCUACCACAUCUAAGGAAGGCAGCAGGCGCGCAAAUUACCCAAUUCUAACAGCAUAAGAGAGGUAGUGACAAGAAAUAACAGUACAAGGCAGUUAAAAUGCUUUGUAAUUGGAAUGAUAGAAAUUUAAAUACUUUUUAAAGUAUCAAUUGGAGGGCAAGUCUGGUGCCAGCAGCCGCGGUAAUUCCAGCUCCAAUAGCGUAUAUUAAAAUUGUUGCAGUUAAAAAGCUCGUAGUUGAAUUUUUGCUAAAAAUAACCGGUCUGCUUUUAUUAAUAAAAGUGGUAUCUUGGUGUGUUUUUAGCAAUAAUGUCCUUUGAAAUGUUUUUUACUUUAAUGUAGAAAACAAUUUUCAGGAUUUUUACUUUGAGAAAAUUAGAGUGUUUCAAGCAGGCUGACGUUUUGAAUACUGCAGCAUGGAAUAAUAAAAUAGGAUUUUAGUUCUACGUUAUUGGUUUUAAGAACUAAAUUAAUGAUUGA